AGGACGAACGCUGGCGGGCGUGCUUAACACAUGCAAGUCGAACGGGAGUAUUGAAGAAGCUUGCUUUAGAGAUACUUUAGUGGCGGACGGGUGAGUAACGCGUGAGGAGCUGUCCUAUGCAGGGGGACAACAGCUGGAAACGGCUGCUAAUACCCCAUAAGCCGAGAGGUAAAAGGAUCAAUCCGGCAGAGGAGGUACUCGCGUCCUAUCAGCUAGUAGGUGAGGUAACGGCUCACCUAGGCGAAGACGGGUAGCCGGCCUGAGAGGGCGAACGGCCACACUGGAACUGAGAUACGGUCCAGACUCCUACGGGAGGCAGCAGUGGGGAAUAUUGGGCAAUGGGGGAAACCCUGACCCAGCGACGCCGCGUGGGUGAAGAAAUCCUUCGGGAUGUAAAGCCCUGUUGUAUGGGAAGAGCGGAAGACGGUACCAUACGAGGAAGCCCCGGCAAACUACGUG
rnacentral:rRNA from 1 species